rnacentral:rRNA from 1 species
UUAAGCGACUAAGCGUACACGGUGGAUGCCCUGGCAGUCAGAGGCGAUGAAGGACGUGCUAAUCUGCGAUAAGCGUCGGUAAGGUGAUAUGAACCGUUAUAACCGGCGAUUUCCGAAUGGGGAAACCCAGUGUGAUUCGUCACACUAUCAUUAACUGAAUCCAUAGGUUAAUGAGGCGAACCGGGGGAACUGAAACAUCUAAGUACCCCGAGGAAAAGAAAUCAACCGAGAUUCCCCCAGUAGCGGCGAGCGAACGGGGAGCAGCCCAGAGCCUGAAUCAGUGUGUGUGUUAGUGGAAGCGUCUGGAAAGGCGCGCGAUACAGGGUGACAGCCCCGUACACAAAAAUGCACAUGCUGUGAGCUCGAUGAGUAGGGCGGGACACGUGGUAUCCUGUCUGAAUAUGGGGGGACCAUCCUCCAAGGCUAAAUACUCCUGACUGACCGAUAGUGAACCAGUACCGUGAGGGAAAGGCGAAAAGAACCCCGGCGAGGGGAGUGAAAAAGAACCUGAAACCGUGUACGUACAAGCAGUGGGAGCACGCUUAGGCGUGUGACUGCGUACCUUUUGUAUAAUGGGUCAGCGACUUAUAUUCUGUAGCAAGGUUAACCGAAUAGGGGAGCCGAAGGGAAACCGAGUCUUAACUGGGCGUUAAGUUGCAGGGUAUAGACCCGAAACCCGGUGAUCUAGCCAUGGGCAGGUUGAAGGUUGGGUAACACUAACUGGAGGACCGAACCGACUAAUGUUGAAAAAUUAGCGGAUGACUUGUGGCUGGGGGUGAAAGGCCAAUCAAACCGGGAGAUAGCUGGUUCUCCCCGAAAGCUAUUUAGGUAGCGCCUCGUGAAUUCAUCUCCGGGGGUAGAGCACUGUUUCGGCAAGGGGGUCAUCCCGACUUACCAACCCGAUGCAAACUGCGAAUACCGGAGAAUGUUAUCACGGGAGACACACGGCGGGUGCUAACGUCCGUCGUGAAGAGGGAAACAACCCAGACCGCCAGCUAAGGUCCCAAAGUCAUGGUUAAGUGGGAAACGAUGUGGGAAGGCCCAGACAGCCAGGAUGUUGGCUUAGAAGCAGCCAUCAUUUAAAGAAAGCGUAAUAGCUCACUGGUCGAGUCGGCCUGCGCGGAAGAUGUAACGGGGCUAAACCAUGCACCGAAGCUGCGGCAGCGACGCUNAUGCGUUGUUGGGUAGGGGAGCGUUCUGUAAGCCUGUGAAGGUGUACUGUGAGGUAUGCUGGAGGUAUCAGAAGUGCGAAUGCUGACAUAAGUAACGAUAAAGCGGGUGAAAAGCCCGCUCGCCGGAAGACCAAGGGUUCCUGUCCAACGUUAAUCGGGGCAGGGUGAGUCGACCCCUAAGGCGAGGCCGAAAGGCGUAGUCGAUGGGAAACAGGUUAAUAUUCCUGUACUUGGUGUUACUGCGAAGGGGGGACGGAGAAGGCUAUGUUGGCCGGGCGACGGUUGUCCCGGUUUAAGCGUGUAGGCUGGUUUUCCAGGCAAAUCCGGAAAAUCAAGGCUGAGGCGUGAUGACGAGGCACUACGGUGCUGAAGCAACAAAUGCCCUGCUUCCAGGAAAAGCCUCUAAGCAUCAGGUAACAUCAAAUCGUACCCCAAACCGACACAGGUGGUCAGGUAGAGAAUACCAAGGCGCUUGAGAGAACUCGGGUGAAGGAACUAGGCAAAAUGGUGCCGUAACUUCGGGAGAAGGCACGCUGAUAUGUAGGUGAAGUCCCUCGCGGAUGGAGCUGAAAUCAGUCGAAGAUACCAGCUGGCUGCAACUGUUUAUUAAAAACACAGCACUGUGCAAACACGAAAGUGGACGUAUACGGUGUGACGCCUGCCCGGUGCCGGAAGGUUAAUUGAUGGGGUCAGCGCAAGCGAAGCUCUUGAUCGAAGCCCCGGUAAACGGCGGCCGUAACUAUAACGGUCCUAAGGUAGCGAAAUUCCUUGUCGGGUAAGUUCCGACCUGCACGAAUGGCGUAAUGAUGGCCAGGCUGUCUCCACCCGAGACUCAGUGAAAUUGAACUCGCUGUGAAGAUGCAGUGUACCCGCGGCAAGACGGAAAGACCCCGUGAACCUUUACUAUAGCUUGACACUGAACAUUGAGCCUUGAUGUGUAGGAUAGGUGGGAGGCUUUGAAGUGUGGACGCCAGUCUGCAUGGAGCCGACCUUGAAAUACCACCCUUUAAUGUUUGAUGUUCUAACGUGGACCCGUAAUCCGGGUUGCGGACAGUGUCUGGUGGGUAGUUUGACUGGGGCGGUCUCCUCCUAAAGAGUAACGGAGGAGCACGAAGGUUGGCUAAUCCUGGUCGGACAUCAGGAGGUUAGUGCAAUGGCAUAAGCCAGCUUGACUGCGAGCGUGACGGCGCGAGCAGGUGCGAAAGCAGGUCAUAGUGAUCCGGUGGUUCUGAAUGGAAGGGCCAUCGCUCAACGGAUAAAAGGUACUCCGGGGAUAACAGGCUGAUACCGCCCAAGAGUUCAUAUCGACGGCGGUGUUUGGCACCUCGAUGUCGGCUCAUCACAUCCUGGGGCUGAAGUAGGUCCCAAGGGUAUGGCUGUUCGCCAUUUAAAGUGGUACGCGAGCUGGGUUUAGAACGUCGUGAGACAGUUCGGUCCCUAUCUGCCGUGGGCGCUGGAGAACUGAGGGGGGCUGCUCCUAGUACGAGAGGACCGGAGUGGACGCAUCACUGGUGUUCGGGUUGUCAUGCCAAUGGCACUGCCCGGUAGCUAAAUGCGGAAGAGAUAAGUGCUGAAAGCAUCUAAGCACGAAACUUGCCCCGAGAUGAGUUCUCCCUGACCCUUUAAGGGUCCUGAAGGAACGUUGAAGACGACGACGUUGAUAGGCCGGGUGUGUAAGCGCAGCGAUGCGUUGAGCUAACCGGUACUAAUGAACCGUGAGGCUUAACCUU